rnacentral:piRNA from 1 species
UCCAGUUUGAUACGGAUGAGAUUAGGCC